rnacentral:rRNA from 1 species
AUUGAACGCUGGCGGCAUGCCUAACACAUGCAAGUCGAACGGGGCAGCAAUGCCUAGUGGCGGACGGGUGAGGAAUACGUAGGAAUCUGCCCUUAAGUGGGGAUAACCAGGGGAAACCCUGACUAAUACCGCAUGAUCUCUUCGGAGCAAAGAGGGGGACCGCAAGGCCUCUCGCUUCUGGAUGAGCCUACGUCUGAUUAGCUAGUUGGUAGGGUAAAGGCCUACCAAGGCGACGAUCAGUAACUGGUCUGAGAGGAUGAUCAGUCACACCGGAACUGAGACACGGUCCGGACUCCUACGGGAGGCAGCAGUGGGGAAUAUUGGACAAUGGGCGCAAGCCUGAUCCAGCAAUGCCGCGUGUGUGAAGAAGGCCUUCGGGUUGUAAAGCACUUUAGCCUGGAAAGAAAAAACUUUGGUUAACACCCAAAGUCUUGACGGUACCAGAAGAAUAAGCACCGGCUAACUCUGUGACAGCAGCCGCAGUAAAAC